rnacentral:rRNA from 1 species
GUGAACGCUGGCGGUAGGCCUAACACAUGCAAGUCGAACGGCAGCACAGUAAGAGCUUGCUCUUACGGGUGGCGAGUGGCGGACGGGUGAGGAAUACAUCGGAAUCUACUUUUUCGUGGGGGAUAAUGUAGGGAAACUUACGCUAAUACCGCAUACGACCUACGGGUGAAAGCAGGGGAUCUUCGGACCUUGCGCGAUUGAAUGAGCCGAUGUCGGAUUAGCUAGUUGGAGGGGUAAAGGCCCACCAAGGCGACGGUCCGUAGCUGGUCUGAGAGGAUGAUCAGCCACACUGGAACUGAGACACGGUCCAGACUCCUACGGGAGGCAGCAGUGGGGAAUAUUGGACAAUGGGCGCAAGCCUGAUCCAGCCAUACCGCGUGGGUGAUGAAGGCCUUCGGGUUGUAAAGCCCUUUUGUUGGGAAAGAAAAGCAGCAGGUUAAUACCCCGCUGUUCUGACGGUACCCAAAGAAUAAGCACCGGCUAACUUCGUG